AUUGCAACAGCCUGGCCAGGAGGCAUUGGGUUUCAAGGCACAGCCUGCUCCGGAGUGUUCCGCUUUGCAAGGGAACAAAGUCCUUGGAGCCGCGGAAGCAGCAUAAGGCUCCGCUUUUCUGUGCCUGUGUAUUGCCGCGGUCUGUGCUUCCCUUUCUUUGCUGAAGGAACUUAGGAAGAUCUUUGGAAGACUCUGCUAGUGACGGCUUAUGAUAAUAUAACCUGAGCUACAGCUCUCCUACCAUUUGGCUUUGCCAAGCUCCUCCAGCACAGCAAGUGAAUCCAGGACCAGAUCAUUCUAACCGUGACAAGCAAGCCGGCAAGAAUGCUUCUUAAAACUCCAAUACGGCCCUUAUACAUCACACAGAAGCAGGAGAGGGCAGCAACAUUUAUUUUUUCGCCUUUGCCAGCCACCGUUGAGCAAAGAUUUGUCAGCGACCUCUGUUCAGAAAACAGUUUUAGCCUUUUUUGUUCACUUCUCUUGGAUUUAGCAAGGCUUCCAAAUUCAUGCGUAGCCAACUCCUCGCUGGAGCUGCCAGGAAAUGCAGCCAGAAACAAGUCUCUGUGGUAGGACAGCCUUGAGUGUGCAGCUC